rnacentral:rRNA from 1 species
GAAAUGCGAUAAGUAAUGUGAAUUGCAGAAUUCAGUGAAUCAUCGAAUCUUUGAACGCAUCUUGCGCUCCUUGGUAUUCCGAGGAGCAUGCCUGUUUGAGUGUCAUUAAAUUAUCAACCUUUGACCUUUGUUGGUCUUGGGCUUGGAUGUGGAGGUUUAUUUUGCAGGCCAACUUUUAUGGUCAGCUCCUCUGAAAUACAUUAGCAGUAUCCCUUCGUGGUUAAAUGACUAUUGGUGUGAUAACUAUCUACGCUUAUAGGCAACCAUGUUCACUUCUGCUUCUUGAAUCGUCUGAAAGGACAAACAUAUGACUAUUUGACCUCAAAUCAGGUAGGACUACCCGCUGAACUUAA